AGCGUUGUGGCGCAGUUUGGCAGCGCGUGGGGCUCAUAUCACUUGAAACCCCAAUGUCCUUGGAUCGAAGCCAAGCAACGCUA